UCCCAGCACAGAGAACUGCAUAUGUGAAGGUGUGGCCUCAUGAAACCACAGCAAACUGUAAGGAGCUACCAGCCUGCCACAGGUGAGAGAUGACCCAGUGGGUCCCCAUCAGUGUUGGAUAUGAUUCCUCAGAACUUGCCCCGGGGAAAAAAUAUGUGAGUCUGCUAUAGAAAAGAAGUAGGUAUUUUACAGAUGAAGAAAUGGAGGGCUGAAGAGACCAUGUGAUUUGCCCAAGAUCACACAGCUGUAAGUGUAUUUUUGAGGAGGAGCUGCUUUACAAUAGAAUGGAGAGGAAAGAACUGGGGUGAUACCUAA